UACGAAGGGGGCGAGCGUUGUUCGGAAUUACUGGGCGUAAAGCGUGCGCAGGCGGUUCGUCGUGUCCGAUGUGAAAGCCCCGGGCUCAACCUGGGAAUGGCAUUGGAAACUGGCGGACUCGAGUGUGGCAGAGGGGGGUGGAAUUCCGCGUGUAGCAGUGAAAUGCGUAGAGAUGCGGAGGAACACCGAUGGCGAAGGCAGCCCCCUGGGCUAACACUGACGCUCAGGCACGAAAGCGUGGGGAGCAAACAGG
rnacentral:rRNA from 1 species